GAUGAACGCUGGCGGCGUGCCUAAUACAUGCAAGUCGAGCGAACGGACGAGAAGCUUGCUUCUCUGAUGUUGGCGGCGGACGGGUGAGUAACACGUGGAUAACCUACCUAUAAGACUGGGAUAACUUCGGGAAACCGGAGCUAAUACCGGAUAAUAUUUUGAACCGCAUGGUUCAAAAGUGAAAGACGGUCUUGCUGUCACUUAUAGAUGGAUCCGCGCUGCAUUAGCUAGUUGGUAAGGUAACGGCUUACCAAGGCAACGAUGCAUAGCCGACCUGAGAGGGUGAUCGGCCACACUGGAACUGAGACACGGUCCAGACUCCUACGGGAGGCAGCAGUAGGGAAUCUUCCGCAAUGGGCGAAAGCCUGACGGAGCAACGCCGCGUGAGUGAUGAAGGUCCUCGGAUCGUAAAACUCUGUUAUUAGGGAAGAACAUAUGUGUAAGUAACUGUGCACAUCUUGACGGUACCUAAUCAGAAAGCCACGGCUAACUACGUG
rnacentral:rRNA from 1 species